GUACUUGCCUGGCAGGGGAGAUGCCAUGAUCACCAGGGUGGUUCUCCCAGGGCCAGGCUUAUCCAUUGCACUCUGAAUGUGCUGACGCCUGUGAUUUCCCCAAAUGUCGGAAACUCAAUUGGACAAUUUAUAGUAGUGGGGGAUGUGUUUAAACUUUCCUUUA
rnacentral:snRNA from 1 species